UACGUAGGGGGCUAGCGUUGUCCGGAAUCAUUGGGCGUAAAGCGCACGUAGGCGGCUUCUUAAGUCAGGGGUGAAAUCCUGGAGCUCAACUCCAGAACUGCCUUUGAUACUGGCAAUCUCGAGUUCGGGAGAGGUGAGUGGAACUGCGAGUGUAGAGGUGAAAUUCGUAGAUAUUCGCAAGAACACCAGUGGCGAAGGCGGCUCACUGGCCCGAUACUGACGCUGAGGUGCGAAAGCGUGGGGAGCAAACAGG
rnacentral:rRNA from 1 species